UCCCUGAUAUCUCAGUUGGUAAAGAAUCCACUUGCAAUUUGGAUGACCUGGGUUCCAUCCCUGGGCUGGGAA
rnacentral:tRNA from 1 species